GACGAACGCUGGCGGCGUGCUUAACACAUGCAAGUCGUACGGUAAGGCCCUUUCGUUGGUCCACGGGUGGCGGACGGGUGAGUGACACGUGCGUAAGCUUCCCACACCUUUGGGAUAAGGCUAGGAAACUGGUGCUAAUACUGAAUAUGUGCUCCUGCUGCAUGGUGGGGGUUGGAAAGCUCCGGCGGUUGUGGAUGGACCCGCGGGCUAUCUGCUUGCUGGUGGGGUAGUGGCCUACCGAGGCGGCGUCGGGUAGCCGGCCUGAGAGGGUGACCGGCCACACUGGGACUUAGGUACGGCCCAGGCUCCUAAGGGAGGGAGCAGUGGGGAAGAUUGCACAAGGGGCGCCAGGCGGGUGCAGCAACGCCGCGGGCGGGAUGACGGUCUUAGGGUUGAAAACCGCUUGCAGCAGGGACGAAGCUUUUUGUGACGGUACCUGAAGAGGAAGCACCGGCUAACUACGUG
rnacentral:rRNA from 1 species